CAAAGGGAUGGAGAACCAGGGCGACACCACAGGCUUGGAGGACCAAGGCGGAGCUAGAAGAAUGGAGGACUGACAUUGUAAAUAUUGUAAGAUAUAAGUAAAAAAUAAAAAGAAAAAAGAAAAAAAGAAAAGCUAUGUAAAAAAAAUGUAUCAGAAACACAGAGGAUGUUUAAAGAUAUCUUUAUAUCCUGGGAUGAAGAAGAUGGGCUCCUCCUUCCUUGAGCUUUUUAUUUUGCAUAUAUUUAUUAUAAAUGACUGAAUGAAUGAAUGAAUGAAUGAAUGAAUGAAAUAGGCGUAAAUAUUCUAUGAUUAUUUAAUGUUGAGCAAGUUGGAUAAAAAUUAAUUUACACAUUGUCACGGUGGAGUCAGGCAUGGAAAGGAGGUGUGGAUCUAUAUGCAGGUUGUGGAGUCAGGGGCUCAGAAGACCGAGACAGAGCAAGUGGUAGUGAUGACCAAAGUGGAGCCGGAGGGAUAGAAGAUGGCGUCAUCACGUGAUUAAUUCUAACCAAUGAGACUGCUGGAACUGCAUCGCUAAUGAGCCGUCAUUCCGGAUUCGACUGCACUGCCAGUUCUGCUUCAAACAGGUAAGUUUUUUAAAUUAUAACCUUUUUUUAAAUGGUAUUUUCUGAGUUUUCUGUUAAAAUUAGUGUAACAGAUGAAAAAGCUAAUGAAUUUAUUGACUAAAAUUAAAUUACACCAAUUUUUAGUGUUUUAAUCUGAUUGUAACGUAUGCUGCCGUUUAAAUGACUAAUGGUUAUAAGGGUCGACUAGCCCAUUUUCUGGUAAUCUAUAAUUUAUAUAUGUACUUUAAAACUGCAUAAAUUCAAUGCCUUGAAUUGUUUUACAUCCAUUUUGGUGUUAAUUUGAUUCAUUAUUGUUCUCCUGUUGCUAUUUUAGCGAACUACGACCGAGCUAGGCAUAAUGAGUCAGUCAUGUCCGUUUUAUAGUUAAAAUAGCGACGUAAACGAGGCCUACAUUAAAUCUCGUUACAUAUGAUUUUAUAACCGUUCAUACAUCGAUAAACACUGUGCGCUGACAGUUAAGACAGAAAACCAUAUUUAUUUAUAUACAUGUGCUUUGUAUUUUUAUAUUGCUAUCAUGUUAAGGUGACCUAAAAAUAACAAAUUGAACGCUUUGUCUCACGCGCAAGUUGGCGCGUGCACGGAGAGACAGAGAGAGAGAGAAGUCAUUGGCCUGUGUAUUUCACAUGAAAUCAACCAUCUGUAAUUAAUUAAUUAUUAAAAGAUAUAAUUUCAUGGCCUACAUUUUUUACUUCCUUUAUAUUCACAUUAAAUAUUAAUGCAUAAUUUCUCUUGAAUGUAUAGGCUACAUUUCAUCAGCACGUUCAUCCAUACAGAGCAAUAUUUAACUGAAAUAUUAAUUCUUGUUUCUUUUUCUCCUUUUCAUUGUGUGUAAUCAGAUCAUUGGUUCUGCUCUUAUUCUUUGCCAUCUAGUCCUGAUUCCUGACUACAGGUCAUCAGGAUGACCAGGAACUACAGGACGGUUUGAGCUACACUCUGCAGGACGUUGGUCCUCCAUGACCAGGACUGGACACCACUGUCCUAAAUAAACCUAAGGAGAGCCGCUCAGGCACAGGUCACUGCAUCUUUUGCUGUAUAAAAAAGCACACAAAAAGCGGCCCAGCCACAGCUUCCGAAGUGGAAACUCCUGUUAAAUCAUGGCUCCACAAUGCAAGAGACCGGGAUGGUGGAAGGAGCAGAAGAACCAGAAGACUGGAGAUCAGGCAAAGAUCUACUGGUACCCGAGGGUAUUGAUCACUCAUCUCCAUCCACAAAUGAAUGAUUUCUGAAUGAUCAUGUGACACUGACAACUAGAUGCAGGCUGCUGAAUAUUAAGUUUUAAUAUCACAGGAAAAUUUUACUUUGUAAGAUAUAUUAAAACAGUUCAGGGCUCGACAUUAAGCCUUUUCCUGUGACGAGUAAAUCGGUCAUUCACAAACUCUGUGUUGUAAAUACAAUUUAUUCUGCAGCAUCAGUGUUAAGGCCGGCUGUGACAUGUAUAAAUCUGCAUAUUUAUGAUAUUUUUACCUUUAUCAAGGGCAUUUUGCCCAUUAUUAAAUAAAUGCUUCAUCUUUCAUUUUAAAUUCUUAAAUUUGAUCAAUAAAUUAAAUUAGUGUAAUAAGACACUGUUACCAGUCAAAUUAAAUAAUUUACACUGAAAAAUUACAACUGCAUUUAAAAAUGUUGUGAGAUUAGAUAAUAAAAAAAUGUCGGAAAGAAUGAUACUUUUAAACAUGAAACUAAACUGCCAGUAGGUGGCGGCAGGUAACUGUCUUAAUGAGUGAGUCAUUGAGUCAUUAAUUCAAACAAUGAAAUGAAAUCAGUGUCACAUUUUCAAUUGUGAUGGUAAUUCAGCACUCUUGGUCAUGUUAGUUCACCCAAAAAUGAAAAUUA